UACGAAGGGGGCUAGCGUUGCUCGGAAUGACUGGGCGUAAAGGGCGCGUAGGCGGCUGUGACAGUCAGAUGUGAAAUUCCUGGGCUCAACCUGGGGGCUGCAUUUGAUACGUGAUGGCUGGAGUGGGGAAGAGGGUCGUGGAAUUCCCAGUGUAGAGGUGAAAUUCGUAGAUAUUGGGAAGAACACCGGUGGCGAAGGCGGCGAGCUGGUCCA
rnacentral:rRNA from 1 species